CGCCCGUAGUCAACCUCGCACGAGGUGGCGCAAGCACCAGAGACUUUAAAAGGCAAAAGAAGAGGUGGAUAAAAAUCGUGCCGGUGCAACCAGCGGUCCUUCGGCGAAGCCACGCUUAGAGCAAGCUGCAACAUGCUCAAGAAGAAGACCAAGCAAUUGGCCGCGGACUUGAACCGCCUGGACGGCGAAGCGGAGCCCGAUAUGAUUGCGCUCACCGGCAGCUCGGCCUGUGUCUCUAGCUGGAUCGAGCAAGACAUACAGGAGACGAGCUGCUCGACCGAGCCAAUGUUUCCCGGAGCACCAAAGAAGCACAAAGUGAAGGAACCGAAACUGGAACAGCCCCAACGGCAACGCGGUCGGCGUUCUCUGUCCCCGUCGUCUGUAGCGGAGGUGCCGGAGGGCCUUCGGCACUGCGUCCUGAACAUACACAGCCCGGCACCAAAAGGAAGGCGACAGCAGUGGUACGCCAUGUGGUUCGUCCAGGUGUCGGUCGUAGUCGUGGCGCUGAUGGUGGCCACUUCCAUCGCCCUGGUGUUCACGCUGCGUGACGCCGAUGUCCAGGAUGAAGAAGGUGGUCGACACUUGGAGGACUACGGCAGUUACUCCAUUGCCGAUGGGAAAAAAACAUUUGAUCCCGCCAUAAAUGAACGCCACAGCGCCCACGACCAGGGCCAAGGCCCUCGGACUGAUGGCAGGAAGAACGUGCACGAAGCUGAGCCAGCCAUACCAGUUGUCGGUUCCCCUCCCACAGGAAGCAUCGAAAGCGGCGGAUCCUCGACGUCCCCAAUCGAAGACAUUGUGCCGAGUUCGCCAGCUUCUGCCGCGGUCAUAUGGCUAGAAGGCGGAGGUUUCGUGCGAGUGCGUGCGCAGGCUCUUACGUGGCCUCCACCAGAUGGCGCUUCCGAACUGGAUGGGGGACGUCGACGCCCUCGUGCGUCGGCUGGCGAGAAGGGACGUUCUGCGGUGGCGAGAGGCGCAGACGACUUUUCGUCGUCUGCUCUGGGUGAAGGUAAAGAAGACACGUCUCGCGCAAGGAGCGGCAGAAGCCUGAAAAGAUUGGACCGAAAGGCUAUAGCAAAGAAAAAAGAACUUAUGGAGCUCUUGAGAAACUGAAACAACCUGCCGUAGAAUUGUGGUUACCGUAGCCCCGCAGUCCAUCUUUCCAUGCACUUGCUCGCGAAAGUUUUUGGCCAUGGAUACAACAGAUUUGCUUGUCAACAGGGACUGUUGUCUCUGCCGGGGGUGACACGGCGUCUUGCGUAUCUUCGUUCAAAAGGGGAAGCAAAUGGCGCACAAGCAUCGCUCAGACGCAUAUACCUCGAACGAGAUGGAUACGACCGACAGGGGUUCAGAAGCCACCGUCAACGAGAAAAACAACUACCCCUUCAAGAAUAAAAAGUAGUGGUAUAUCGGCAAUA